rnacentral:lncRNA from 1 species
GAGACUGAAGAAGUAAGCUAGUCUGUCACCAAACAGUAGCCUCUGCUAGUAUCCAUACUAGCUGCUAGCAUCUACACUAGCUACACCCGUGUCCCGGCUGACCUGUCACCAAACAGCAGCCGGCAUAAACGGAAGGCGAGAACAUGCAGUCAGAGGUUGAACCUACCCUAACCGAGGGCUCGGGGAAGCCUCCGACAAAGUUCUGCGCGUGCGGGAACAAAAUGUCGGGAGCGGAUAGCCACACCGCCUGCAUUCACUGCCUUGGGCUGGAACAUGCCAAGGCUGCCCUUGCAUUCCCGCCUACCUGCGAGCAUUGCGCACGGUUUACAAAAAAAACCUGCAAACGCCGGCUGACUAAGCAGGCGAAGCUCAGCACAGAUGAUCCGGUAAUGGGGGUAACCGACCCGCCACUACCGGAGCUAGCGGGAGGUUCCCGGGGGCUCUCCGCCCCACUGGGAACCAGCUGGGGAUCGGAGGUGGACCUCACCGACGCUUCCCAGCCGCUGGAGUUGACUCAGCCCGACGCUUUCGAGGCUAGCCUGCUGGAAGGGCCCGACGAAGCCGAGGGCGAUCACUCCGAGUCGGGGGGGGAAUCCAUUAGCCUCGGCUCUGACGAGGACGAUGAUGAUGAUUCCUUUUCCCCCCGCACCGCGUCGCCUAUGGUGGUGGGCGGUGCGUGCACCCCCUCCCCGAACCCGGCCGUGAGCAUGGACCUACACGAGGCCUGCAAGAGGGCGGCUGCGCGGCUAAACAUCGAGUGGCCGGAGGCCGCCACAUCUCGCUACGAGGGCAAGCGACUCCCGAAGGCGAAGGCUUCAACCAGCCUGCUACUUCCGGCCUUUCCCGAGUGCCUGGAGGAAGCGACCCGGUCUUGGGGCAAGCCUCUCUCAGCCAAGAUCCCCGUCCAGGGUGGAUCGGGGUUGGAUUGGGCCGGUAUGGAGGAAAAGGGGUUCUCCCAUCUUCCUCCGGUUGAACCACUGCUGGCGUCGCACCUCCACCCCACGCAGAAGUCCGCCAUGACUUCAGCGAGCCCUACACUGCCGUCCAGAGCCGACUCCUUCCAGUCAUCAAUGACCGAGAAGGGCUACAAGGCGAUGGCGACGACGGUGAAGGCGCUCAACGCGUCGUCGCUGCUGCUGGCGUACCAGGCUGAGCUCGAGCUCGACAUGUCCUCGUCACCCACCCCAGCCCUUUGGGAUGAACUGUGCGUGGUGACGGACCUGUGCCUGCGCCUUCACAGGAGCGCUGUCCAGGCGUCCGGAAGGGCCAUGGCGCUGAUGGUCGCUCAGGAGAGGGCGAGGUGGCUGAACCUCUCCAGUCUCUCUCUGAGGGAGAAAACCCAACUCCUAGACGUGCCUGUGGACCCGAAAGGCCUGUUUGGCCCGGCGUAUGAUGUCAUGGAGGAAAAAAAGAGGGAGGGUGAGGCGC